AUGCUGGAUGCGCGCGCUCCUUGGGCGCAACUGCCCAGCGCAAAACGGGCCCCGAAAGCAGGUGAGUGGAGGACACUUCAAUCUAAAGUGAUCUUAAAGGAGGAGUAGUAGGAUUUGAAGAUGAAGAAAGAAGAGGGGAGGUAAAUUACUUUCCAUCACUUCAAUUUCAACCCAUCAGAUAAAACCUCUCUUUAGUAAACCUGCAUGUGGGUGGAGCUGUAACAGCAAUUAAGGACAGUGUGACUCUGUUCUUCUGACUUUGGGAAAACCAGUUUGGCUGGAACAAAAAGCUGAUAGAGAAGACUAAUGGAAGAUAAGGUUGAAAAGGUAGGUUUGAGGGAGCUUUGUUACAGGAAAAAAAAAAAAAAAAAACUGGGCUUUGUCCUGUAGACAGUGGAGAGGUACUUUAGCAGAUGUAAGACAUUACCAUUAUAGGAAAGCCUCUGAAGUAACAUACACUGUGGUUUUUCCUGUUGCUGAAAAUAUGCCCAGAGUAACAAGAUGUGGCAUAGUUGGUUAUGUGUCUUAUAACCAGUGAGGUGUGCCCAAAUGGGAAAUUAAUGAAUGACUACCCAAAAAGAAGAGGGAGAGUGUUUGAAACACUGUCACUGUGAAAUAGACUGGUUGUAUGAAAAGUUGCAUAUCAAGCCUUUGGCAAAUUAUAUAAAUACUCUGAUUUUGACAUCUUAAAGGAGUAUACUAUAGAAAAUAAAAGAAAAACACUUGAAUCUGUUACAGGAAACGGGUCAUGAUCCAGACCCCAGGAGAGGGUUCUUGGAUCUCACACAAGAAAGAAUUCAGGGUGACCCCACAGUGCAAAAGUCAAAGCAAGUAUUAAGAAAAUGAAGGAAUAACAGAAUGGCUACUACAUAGAGCA
rnacentral:lncRNA from 1 species